rnacentral:rRNA from 1 species
GAUGAACGCUGGCGGCGUGCCUAAUACAUGCAAGUCGAGCGAACAGACGAGGAGCUUGCUCCUCUGACGUUAGCGGCGGACGGGUGAGUAACACGUGGAUAACCUACCUAUAAGACUGGGAUAACUUCGGGAAACCGGAGCUAAUACCGGAUAAUAUAUUGAACCGCAUGGUUCAAUAGUGAAAGACGGUUUUGCUGUCACUUAUAGAUGGAUCCGCGCCGCAUUAGCUAGUUGGUAAGGUAACGGCUUACCAAGGCAACGAUGCGUAGCCGACCUGAGAGGCUGAUCGGCCACACGGGAACUGAGACACGGUCAAUACUCCUACGGGAGGCAGCAGUAGGGAAUCUUCCGCAAAGGGCGAAAGCCUGACGGAGCAACGCCGCGUGAGUGAUGAAGGUCUUCGGAUCGUAAAACUCUGUUAUUAGGGAAGAACAAAUGUGUAAGUAACUAUGCACGUCUUGACGGUACCUAAUCAGAAAGCAACGGCUAACUACGUG